rnacentral:rRNA from 1 species
AAGCUCGUAGUUGAAUUUCGGGAUUAAUUUAUUGGUUGUGCAAUAGUACGUACUGGUAUUAUUGAUUCCUACCUUCUGACGAACCAUGAUGUCAUUAAUUUGGUGUCAUGGGGAAUCAGGACUGUUACUUUGAAAAAAUUAGAGUGUUUAAAGCAGGCUCACGCUUGAAUACAUUAGCAUGGAAUAACGAAAUAGGACGUUUGAUUCUAUUUUGUUGGUUUCUAGGAUCGACGUAAUGAUUAAUAGGGAUAGUUGGG